rnacentral:rRNA from 1 species
GAUGAACGCUGGCGGCGUGCCUAAUACAUGCAAGUCGAGCGAACAGACGAGGAGCUUGCUCCUCUGACGUUAGCGGCGGACGGGUGAGUAACACGUGGAUAACCUACCUAUAAGACUGGGAUAACUUCGGGAAACCGGAGCUAAUACCGGAUAAUAUAUUGAACCGCAUGGUUCAAUAGUGAAAGACGGUUUUGCUGUCACUUAUAGAUGGAUCCGCGCCGCACUAGCUAGUUGGUAAGGUAACGGCUUACCAAGGCAACGAUGCGUAGCCGACCUGAGAGGGUGAUCGGCCACACUGGAACUGAGACACGGUCCAGACUCCUACGGGAGGCAGCAGUAGGGAAUCUUCCGCAAUGGGCGAAAGCCUGACGGAGCAACGCCGCGUGAGUGAUGAGGGUCUUCGGAUCGUAAAACUCUGUUAUUAGGGAAGAACAAAUGUGUAAGUAACUAUGCACGUCUUGACGGUACCUAAUCAGAAAGCCACGGCUAACUACGUG